GUGAUGUUACAUUACUUUUACAUUAGAGGAGGAGAAUGAGAAGUACAUAUCUUUAUUUAUUCAUAUGGUCCUGAGGAAUUUAUCCCAGUUUGAAAGGAAGGUGUUGCGUAGUUGAAAUUCUUUUUUGAGGGAGUGAAUGUUACUGUUUUAUGUUGUUGGAAGUCUCAUGUCGACUAGAGAUAAUGUCAACUUAUAAUAUAUAAGUGGGGUGCAAACCUCAUCUUACAAGUCGGUUUUGUGGGGUUGAGCUCGACCCUACAAUCCUACAAAACCAGGUCUGUACCCUACUUAUAUAUUAUAAGUUGGCCUUAUCUCUAGUCGAUAUGGACUUCCAACACACCUCCUUCACGAGGUAUAGACAUCUCGUGCGUAAAAAUUGGAUGAUCCAAUACUAGCUCCACA
rnacentral:lncRNA from 1 species